GAUGAACGCUAGCUACAGGCUUAACACAUGCAAGUCGAGGGGCAGCAUGGUCUUAGCUUGCUCAGGCCGAUGGCGACCGGCGCACGGGUGAGUAACACGUAUCCAACCUGCCGUCUACUCUUGGACAGCCUUCUGAAAGGAAGAUUAAUACAAGAUGGCAUCAUGAGUCCGCAUGUUCACAUGAUUAAAGGUAUUCCGGUAGACGAUGGGGAUGCGUUCCAUUAGAUAGUAGGCGGGGUAACGGCCCACCUAGUCUUCGAUGGAUAGGGGUUCUGAGAGGAAGGUCCCCCACAUUGGAACGGAGACACGGUCCAAACUCCUACGGGAGGCAGCAGUGAGGAAUAUUGGUCAAUGGGCGAGAGCCUGAACCAGCCAAGUAGCGUGAAGGAUGACUGCCCUAUGGGUUGUAAACUUCUUUUAGAAAGGAAUAAAGUCGGGUAUGGAUACCCGUUUGCAUGUACUUUAUGAAUAAGGAUCGGCUAACUCCGUG
rnacentral:rRNA from 1 species